AUGUUUGUGUACUUUGGGAAUAGGACAUUCAGAGAUUAACAAAAUUAAAGUGGCGACUUGAUCAAAAUUUUCGAAUGAAAGUGUUAUUGUGUGAAUAUAAUUAAUUGAAGAUGCUGAUGCAGUGAAGACGUAUUAUGCUUGCAUGCUUCUUCUAUCUGUUUAUCUAACACCCAUUCAGAUUUGAAAAGGAUUGGGGAAAAAUCAAAGAAAAAUCCGAAGCUUUCCACCGAAUGGGGUAAUCUAAAAAUUAAAUAUUGAUCUGUCCUGUUACUAAGUACUAGUGCCGCAGGAGUACAUUAGACCUCCUGCUGCUCAAGUGCUUAUCAAUGGGAACAGUUUAUCCAACAACGAAUCAUCUCAAAGCAGCGAUUCGGACAUUCAAUUGGGCGACAUGAAGAUUAUAAGUGCUAUAAAUGUAUAGUAGGGGCAAUUUUUUGUAGAUGAGUGCCAUGAAGGGAGAAUUUUUUAUAUAUUAAUUCUCGAGAGUUCACAAAAUUUUAUAUUUCAAUAAACAACAAAAAUUUUCGUUUGUUUCUUUGAAAUUAUUAUUUUAUUUAGUUGUAGUAGUAGAUGGCAGGUGGAUCUUUGUGAGAUUUCAAUUGAAACAGUAAAAUACAAAAUAAUUUUUUUUA